CAACGGACUUAGACAAGAAAUUGAGUGCUCUUCGGGAAACCGAAGAAGUAGAACUGCUCAAAGUCGGGGAAACCUGUAAAAUGGCAAUCCCGAGCCAAGCCCGACCCAUGGUCGGGAAGGUGUAGAGACUAGACGGGCAGCACCUAAGGCAUGUGCUAGGGUGAAGGGAUAGUCCAGACCACAAACCCCGUCAUUCGGG
rnacentral:ncRNA from 1 species